UACGUAGGGAGCAAGCGUUGUCCGGAUUCACUGGGUGUAAAGGGUGCGCAGGCGGAUUUGUAAGUCAGAGGUGAAAUCUCACGGCUUAACCGUGAAACUGCCUUUGAUACUGCAGAUCUUGAGUUUGGGAGAGGUUGAUGGAAUUCCAGGUGUAGCGGUGAAAUGCGUAGAUAUCUGGAAGAAUACCGGUGGCGAAAGCGACUGUCUGGACGGCAACUGACGCUGAGGCACGAAAGCGUGGGGAGCAAACAGG
rnacentral:rRNA from 1 species